rnacentral:rRNA from 1 species
CAGCCGCCGCGGUAAUACCGGCGGCCCGAGUGGCGGUCACUAUUAUUGGGCUUAAAGCGUCCGUAGCCGGGUUGGGAAGUCCUCCGGGAAAUCUGGCCGCUUAACGGUCAGAAUGCCGGAGGAUACUCCCAGCCUAGGGAGCGGGCGAGGCCGAGGGGAUUCCCGGAGUAGGGGGGAAAUCCUAUAAUCCCGGGAGGACCACCGGUGGCGAAGGCGCUCGGCUGGAACGCGUCCGACGGUGAGGGACGAAGGCCAGGGGAGCAAACCGGAUUAGAUACCCGGGUAGUCCUGGCUGUAAACGAUGCGGACUUUGUGUCGGACAAGCUAUGAGCUUGUCCGGUGCCGGAGGGAAACCGUUAAGUCCGCCGCCUGGGGAGUACGGCCGCAAGGCUGAAACUUAAAGGAAUUGGCGGG